UACGAAGGGGGCUAGCGUUGUUCGGAAUUACUGGGCGUAAAGCGCACGUAGGCGGACAUUUAAGUCAGGGGUGAAAUCCCAGAGCUCAACUCUGGAACUGCCUUUGAUACUGGGUGUCUUGAGUAUGGAAGAGGUGAGUGGAAUUCCGAGUGUAGAGGUGAAAUUCGUAGAUAUUCGCAAGAACACCAGUGGCGAAGGCGGCUCACUGGCCCGGUACUGACGCUGAGGAGCGAAAGCAUGGGUAGCGAACAGG
rnacentral:rRNA from 1 species